rnacentral:sRNA from 1 species
AUUGUCCUCAUAAUAGGAUAUGCUAUUUUUUGAUAUUUAUGCAAUUUGUAAAAGAUAUCCUAAUGUCAUCGUCAGUUAUAGUAUUGUCCUUAGAAUAAGACAUAUUAUUUUUGGAUAUUGUUUAUGCAACUUGGAAAAGAUAUCUAACCUCCCCAUCAAUUGUUUUUAUUGAAUGUCUACAUUUCCUUCAUAAAUUCAUUAAAAAUAUUUUCAACAGGUUAACAGAUACAAAAGAAAAAAAAAAUCAGUUUAUUGAAGAAAUUAGACAACUUGACAUGGAUUUAGAGGAACACCAAGGUGAAAUGAACCAGAAAUACAAGGAGCUAAAGAAAAGGGAGGAACAUAUGGACACUUUUAUUGAGACUUUUGAGGAAACAAAGAAUCAGGAACUGAAACGAAAGGCACAGAUAGAAGCCAACAUUGUUGCACUCUUGGAGCACUGCAGUCGAAAUAUAAAUCGUAUGGAACAGAUAUCCUCUAUCACCAAUCAAGAGCUAAAGAUGAUGCAGGAUGACCUCAAUUUUAAAUCUACUGAAGUGCAGAAAUCACAAAGUACAGCUCAGAAUUUGACUUC